UUUGAAGAUCCACUUACAUCCUAUGGAUUUUACCCCUUCUGGUGGGUCAACCAAUGUCCAUACAUUGUUGAUUUUCAUGGACUCUUUCAGAUUUCAUGACUUUCAACCACUUAUCAGAGUCAGACCUCUGCAUCGCAUCCAUAUAGGUGAUCGGAUCCUCAUUAUUCUCAUCGAGUUCAACUGGAUCCCCAUCCUAGACUAAGAAACC
rnacentral:lncRNA from 1 species